ACUUUGACACUCAUUUAAAGAUGACAGGGAACAAUAGAGAUUUGUUCUGUGCAACCCUUUCUUGUUAUGCCGGCGACAUCAGCUCCGCACAUGAAACUGCCCGAUAUUUCAUUCCACCUGCCACCUCCCUCCCGCCUCGGUCGACUCUCUCCUCUGCUACUUUGCUUGUCCCCACUUUAACACAAAGAGACAGCUCUGUGUUCACAGCACCUAACAGUGUUGAAAAAGAAUGCUAUUUAAAACCCGAGUUGAGACAUCACCUUUCCAAACCCAUGACUGCUUCCUGGCUCACUAAACACGAACCAGAAAUUAAUGCUGCAAAGAGCAGAGACAAGAGAUUCGACUGUGUUAGCCAGGAUGGUCUCGAUCUCCUGACUUCGUGAUCUGCCCGCCUCAGCCUCCCAAAGUGCUGGGAUUACAGGCUUGAGCCACUGUGCCUGGCUUCAGGCUGGGAUUUUUAUAGCUUAUUAUGGCAAGGGAGGAGACGGAGAGUAAAAGAAGAAGGAAGAGCAUACACAGUCACCCCUUGUGUGACAAAUAUGCAAGAAAUAAAGAUAAAUGUGUACAAUUCUUACAAUUUUACUUUUCUGAAUUUUGCUAUUGCACUGAAUGAUUUGUGAUAAGACAGAUGGGGAUGAAAAAUAUACUUAUUAAAUAAACAGCUAUUAAAAGCCCCUAAAA
rnacentral:lncRNA from 1 species